UGCUUGUUUCUAGUUCUUUUCUGUGUUGAUUUUAUGGUAUUUUACGCAAGAUUGCAUUUGAAAUGGAUUUUUUUUUUAUGUUCGAUUAUCUUGGAGAUGCUUGAAGUUCUGUUUCUUUGUAUGAAUUGGAGGAAUUGGGCAUGGGAUUAGCGUGUAAUUGGAUUUUUGGUAAUUUUUGUCUUUGCCUUGAUGUUGCAUUGUUUUUGUAUCAGGUGUGGUAUAGGUAGUCUAUCGUUACAUUUCAGCCUCUAACUCAAAAUGAUAUUAUGAAACUGGAGAGAUUAGAAUUUGGCCAAUGAUAUUUCGAAAAGGGGAUUUUUUUAGGAUAACUUUUUCUUUAACUUAUUCUUAUGAUCUCUUUUGUGAACCGAAUAAGUAGGACACCAAUUAUCCAUUCUGACAGUGUAUCGAAGUGCAGACUAAUGGAGUAUGAACUGUUGAAUCCCCAAAAUUUGGGAAUAAAGUAGCAAUAUGAAGUUAUAUUGUUUUCUUAUUUACAUUUUAUUUAAGAUAUGUAAGAUCUCAUUUUUCCCUGGGUUUCAUCAUUGUUUUUGUUAAUAAACUUGUUUAGUGUCUGAUGCAUAUUGUGUUGUAUGUUCUCUGUCCUUGAAAUUUGUUGCUUGAAAGUUAAGGUCUCUAAGAAGCAAAUUCUGAUUAUUCAAAUGAACUUUAUUCCCAGGUAAGUUUUCAUUUCUAUCAUCUGAUGUAAACCGUGCUAGUUUAGAAUGAGUUUGCAUGUUGAAGAAAUUCAUUGCUCAUAGGUCAUUAAAACUUUGUUUGAAUUCUAUUAGAAAGUUUAGUUUGUCGUGACUUUAAAAAAUAAUUAUGAACAUUAUCUUCUAAUUGUGAUAUAUUUAAAUGUGAAAAAAGUUCUAGAGGAAAUGUUAGAAUCAAAUGGCAUGUCUAGAUGAUGGAUCCUACUGUCUUACUUCUUAAGAUUUUUCUGGGCAUUUGGAAAAAAAUCUUUAGGAAAUAAAAAUUUUACGUAAGACAAAAAAUCCUAAUGCCCCAUUUUGAAAUUUAGUCGUAUCAUACUGGUCUUAGUAGCAUGAAAGGGUGUUUGUUCCAAAAGUAUUAUACUGAUUAAUAUUUGCUAUAUGAUGAAGUAACAUAAUUUUUUAUGUAAUAACACUAGGGAGAACAUGUAAAAUAAUACAUGACCCAACAUAUAUAUGCAUGUGGACCUCAUAUGUUACUGCAUCUUUUAGUAUAUGGUUGUCCAUGUGACCAUAUUUACAUGUCUAUGUAGACCACACAAGCAGUCACCUUGACAUUCCCAGCCACACAUGCAAUCGGACUGCAAACUGAGGCCACCUAGGCCCUAUGAUAUCUGAUCACAAGGCUCAUUAUGCAUAUGUGGUUACCUUAGAGACAUUUUAGCACAACGUUUUGUCGUGUCAUUGAUCGUGCUGGUUUAUGUCUUUGUUCUUUGGUAACAUCAACUGAUAAAACCAAAACCUUUUUAGCUUAAUUGAGUUUAAGAUGGGGAAGCUGGGUGAGUCUUACAAUCAGCAAGUUGUGUUUAAGUGAAAUUUGGCUUGCUAAAUUUUCAGCCAGACAUGAGCUUGCUCAAGCACACAUUUCUUAUAUUUUCUCUUUGUGGACUAUUCUUGCUGCGGCCUUUCUGGAAUACCUAAUCAUUGUGCGUAUAUAUUCAUCCAAGUGUAUGCAGCUUGCUGAUGCUGAUGUUGCAGUCUUUUGGGUGUUUGAAAUAUAGAUAUGUUAUGUUGGCAUUUAGGCAUUUUUCUUCAUCUCUUCCUACUUAGCUUUAACUAUUGGUGAAGUUGACAGCUCCUAGUUAAGGGUGGCUAGUUUCUUAUAAGCCACUUCAAAGUGAGUGAAUGACUUAAUUAGUAUUUAAUCUUCUCCUCUCUUUUUAUUCACUUAAGGUCAAAAAGAUCUUCAAAGAGAAAAGAAUACCACAAAUGCAUGACUCUUCACCAUUUUUAUAGAUUGGCCUGAACUUGGGCAAGUUGUGUCAUGCCCAUCUAUGCUUGGCAUUUUAGCAAGUCUUGCACAAGAUAGCGUAGAGAAAACUGUCACAUAUUGCAUUUGAUCUUAUUGUGUUGUUUUAAACCUUGAUUAUACAGCCACGUCUGGCUCAUCUACUGUAUCAUAGGCAAUAGAACAACAUAAGCCUAGUGAAGUGCUUUAAAAAGAUUAUGAUGUAUAUUUACCUAAAAUUGUGGCCGGUGAUUUAUCACAGAAGACUUUCACAUCUGUCUUCUCUGGGUUUAUCGCGUGGAACACUUUGGCUGAUUGAAAAUAUGAAGAAAACAGCUUAUCCAUAAGGUUCUCAACGUCUAAGCCUUAGUUUCCAUUCUAUGUAAUUGUGUCACUGAUAAACAUGUUCCUUUGAAUUAAAGAUAAAAUGGCUGAGAAGUUUAAAGUUGACAACCCACAUGAAAUUUUGUGCAUACAGCAUCCAGACAAGGAGGUCGAAGUUCCUUCCUAUCCUAUAAAACACACUUGCGAUGCAUUUUGGCCCCUUUAGGCCAAUUGACUAAAAUAUCAAAAUGUUGUCGUUUGCUGCUCUCCUGGACCAGGGUGGAGUACAUGGGUCUACAGUUUCCCAUCUCAGAGGUGUUGGCUAGAACUCUUGUCCAUGGUACCAGCUUCAUUAUUACUUCCUGUUUUGUGCAGUCCACAUGAACCCUUUUGUGAACCACUGCCACUCCUCUUCUCAGGGAAAUAAGAGGAGCUAAAAGUGUACUUCCUUGAGCUGCAGAUUACAUCUCUUGCACACAACAACAAUAUCAUCAGGCAGAGUUGAAGAUAUCUGGACUGCAACUUCCUCUCCCGUGACUGCAACAAAACUGCAUCAUUCAUACUCCCCAGAGGAAGACGCAGAAACGUGGGUAGAAGAACCUGAUUAGUUGUGCAGUGGAUUUGGACCCUGGGGCACCAGUCUCUUGGAAACUCCAUAAACCGAGCUGAACUCCUCCUCCUCAUCAUGCUCUGCAGACGGAGAUAUCCUAGGGAAGUAACCCAUGGAUGAUGGUGUGGAGUACUCAUUCUUCCAUCUCUCCGCCCCUCGCAUGGCUGUUCUUGCAUGGCCGAGACUGGUAAGCUGCCCAGCAACCAGCAGUAGCAGUAGAAACAAGAUCAUGUGUGGCAGAGGGAAGUUGUGCAACCUCAUGGCCGCAGGAUGGGGAAGAGACUUGGAGAGCAGAGCAGGUUGAAGAGGAGGGAGAGAGGGAAGCAGAAGGAGGUUGAAUUAUAGCCAAGCAGGAACAUGGGCAGGUGGAGAAGUCUAUUAAUAUGGGGGCCAACUCCAUUGGUGAGGAAAACGCUGUCAAAGCUCGGACCAAUUGACCAAAUCAUCCUUGUGACCGUCUUUAGCAGCCCCCUUCAUCUGUUCAUGGGAUCACAAGAUGUCAACAUGGAUAUGAGGAGGCUACUUGUGGCAUUCUCAGAUGGAUUUAAGGGUGUUGACUGUGUAAGAGGGGGUGGAGAUGCUCUGUCUUCCAUUUGGCAUCAUUUUGUCAUGAAGUGAUUACAAUAGAGUUAAGCAGUACCAAAUGAUUGCCAUUUCCAUCCAAUGUGCUUUGGAUUUAGUAUGAGCCUACAAGUAAGUCUAUCACUGUGUUAGCGUGUGUGAUUUCUUUGACCUGGUUUCCAGUGAGAGAGAGAGAGAGAGAGAGAGAGAGAGAGAGAGAUGGAUCCCUGUGGCAAUGUGACUUCUAAAUGUGUUGCCGCAAAUAAUUGAAGUUGGGAGAGUGGACCAAAGCAAGAGGCCAACGUAAGCUCCUAAUUAUAAUUAAGUUGGAGUACACUACAAACUGUACCUAUGCAACCUAAAAAAUGUGAAUCAGGUUCAUUAUAAUUCA